AGUCGGAGUCCUUGGCAGAGCCACCAGAAGGGGGCAGUGUCUCCUGGAAUGAGCAGCUAGGCAGCGAGACAAAGACAUCCUCAGUGAGUGUGGAGAAAAGAAAGGAAAAUAAGAAAUGUAUCUUUAUUUGUUUAAAUAGUUGGGACUCAGGAGCUGCCUGUUGCAGCCUGUGAAGCAGGGUAUCUCUGACUGAUGCAGGCUCUGAGGGGCGAGGGAAGCAGUCAGAGGAGACAGCAAGUUCUUCCCUGAAUGGUAGAUACAUCGGGACAGAGCAACUCUGCUACAGAUACCACCGGUCUAGUGCAGAAAAAUAUACAGUAAGAGGCCGUUGCUCUCCUAAGAACCUCGCAGGCUCAGCCAGCCCCUCCCUCUGUCCAGGUCUGCCGCUGCAGCAUUGGAUCUCCUCAGGAAAAGGAGCAGCAUUGCUAGUGAUGGCUGGUAGGGUGGGGCAGCUCUGCAAGCAGCGGAGUUCUCUGUGUGUCGACAGGAGCCCCGACAUGGGAUGACAGUACACCCCGAGGUCACUUCUUCAGGUCCAUCUCACCCAAGGAGGCGGGGCUCAGCAGAACAUGGAUGGACUGAGACCCUGCGGCUGGUGUGUGAGCUGUCAGUCCACCCACUUUGCCAUGAAGACCAGCCACAAGAGAAGCACUGAACCACGACUGGGCUGACCGAGUACCACACCAGACCCUAAGCCACUCUGCAGGCACAACAUCCUGUCACAGUGUUUCCUAUUCCACGUGAUAUUCAGGCCAUGUGUAACUCGGGGCGCACUGCUAUAAAGUGGUGGGUAUGCUACAUUCUA
rnacentral:sRNA from 1 species